CUACGGGCGGCUGCAGUGGGGAAUAUUGGACAAUGGGGGAAACCCUGAUCCAGCAAUGCCGCGUGUGUGAAGAAGGCCUGCGGGUUGUAAAGCACUUUCGGUUGGGAGGACUGCUUCUAGCACUAAUAUUGUUGGAAGUUGACGUUACCUUCAGAAGAAGCACCGGCUAACUCCGUGCCAGCAGUCGCGGUAAUACGGAGGGUGCAAGCGUUAAUCGGAAUUACUGGGCGUAAAGCGCGCGUAGGCGGCUAGAUCAGUCGGGUGUGAAAGCCCCGGGCUUAACCUGGGAACUGCAUCCGAUACUGUCUAGCUAGAGUACAGGAGAGGAGAGUGGAAUUCCACAUGUAGCGGUGAAAUGCGUAGAUAUGUGGAGGAACACCAAUGGCGAAGGCAGCUCUCUGGCCUGAUACUGACGCUGAGGUGCGAAAGCGUGGGGAGCAAACAGGAUUGAUACCCCCGUAGUC
rnacentral:rRNA from 1 species